rnacentral:misc_RNA from 1 species
AAUGAAGGGAUUGGCGUAAAGCCUAUCAAGCUUCAUGGCGGGCAAAGACGUCACCAUGUCCAUGAAAUUCUUAACAAUGAUUCUCACCUAAGGCAUCGGCAAAGUGCUUCUUUAGAAGCACACAAAAGCACCUAAACAAUGUUCUGCACAUGACAAUGCUCUGUUUUAAUGAGAAAAACAAGGUAGUCAUGUGAGACACCUUGCUGAUAAUGAUAGCAUAUUCUUUGCCUCUCUAGUUUUGUUGUGGAAAGAG